CUGGCAUUGUGAACGUCCUUGCAGGAUGCCUAGGACGAGGGUGACAAGCAGCAGGUGUCUUUUACUUGUGACGAUCUCAGCCCUCGUGCAACUGGAGAAAAGGACAAAAUUGGAGACACUGGUUAUUUUCCCCAAGGCUUUGAAUGAAUGACAUGCUUUCGGAUACAAACAGACUCCUUUAAGAAAUCAAUGUUAACUUAGAGAGCCAAUAAAAUCCCCUUGGGAAAAGUGGACCCACAUCUUGUCUACACAAUCCCUGUGCAGGCUUUCUCACCUGUGGAACGCCUGACUGGUAUGAGAAAAAUGCCUCAACUAAGCCUGUGUACAACUUCAGCAAACACACUGUGCUUGCAGCCCCUCCCAAGUGCUGGCAGGCCACUGAGCAUGCAGACAGCCUACCCCAAAAGAAGUAACGGGGAGAAGUAACACAACCCCAGAAGCAUCUCAAUACAUAAAACUUCAAGUUAAAGAUCAAACAGCACACUUGAAUCUCUCAAGUCACCUGCUUGGCUCUCUUCUAAGUGUACCUUACUUUCUUUUGUUCCUGCUCUAAAACUUUUUAAUAAACUUUCCUGCUCUAAA
rnacentral:lncRNA from 1 species